rnacentral:ncRNA from 1 species
GAAUUUUAGUUAAUUCAUAUUUUUAGCUAAGUUUAUUUUUUAAAAAAAUAAACAAAGUGGGUAGCAUCAGAUAAGUUUCAUCGUCGAGAGAAAAACAGUCCGGAUCACCUGCUAAGGCUCCUAAAUAACUGCUCAAUGAUAAAGGAGGUAGGGGUGCAAAGACAGUCAGGAGGUUUGCCUAGAAAUAACCACCUUUGAAAGAGAGCGUAAUAGCUUACUGAUCGAGCGCGCUUGUGCCGAAGAUGAACGGGGCUAAGCAAUCUGUCGAAACUGUGGGAUGUCAAAAUGUGACGCC